GUGCCAGCCGCCGCGGUAAUACCGGCAGCCCGAGUGAUGGCCGAUCUUAUUGGGCCUAAAGCGUCCGUAGCUGGCUGCGCAAGUCCGUCGGGAAAUCCACGCGCUCAACGCGUGGGCGUCCGGCGGAAACCACUCGGCUUGGGGCCGGAGGACUCGAGGGGUACGUCUGGGGUAGGAGUGAAAUCCCGUAAUCCCGCACGGACCACCGAUGGCGAAAGCACUUCGAGAAAACGGAUCCGACAGUGAGGGACGAAAGCCAGGGUCUCCAACCGGAUUAGAAACCCUGGUAGUCC
rnacentral:rRNA from 1 species